GUUCGCUGUGGCAGCACAUGUACUAAAAUUGGAACCAUAUAGAGCUUAGCAUGGCCCCUGCACAAGAAUGGCAUGCAAAUUCAUGGAGCAUGUAUGGUGUUG